rnacentral:rRNA from 1 species
UACGAAGGGGGCUAGCGUUGCUCGGAAUUACUGGGCGUAAAGGGCGCGUAGGCGGAUGUUUAAGUCGGGGGUGAAUGCCCAGGGCUCAACCCUGGAAUUGCCUUCGAUACUGGACAUCUUGAGUGCGGGAGAGGUGAGUGGAACUCCGAGUGUAGAGGUGAAAUUCGUAGAUAUUCGGAAGAACACCAGUGGCGAAGGCGGCUCACUGGCCCGAUACUGACGCUGAGGCACGAAAGCGUGGGGAGCAAACAGG